GCGGGAUUAGUUUAGUGGUAUGAUGGGUCCUUCCCAAGGAUCAGACGCGAGUUCGAUUCUCGCAUCCCGCACAA
rnacentral:tRNA from 3 species